rnacentral:rRNA from 1 species
AGUGAACGCUGGCGGCGUGCUUAACACAUGCAAGUCGAACGAGAACGGGCUAUAGCUUGCUAUAGUUGUCAGCUAAGUGGCGCACGGGUGAGUAAUGUAUAGGUAAUAUGCCUCUUACUAAGGGAUAACAAAUGGAAACGUUUGCUAAUACCUUAUACUCCUUAUUAACAGAAGUUAAUAAGGGAAAGAUUUAUUGGUAAGAGAUUAGCCUGUAUUGUAUCAGUUAGUUGGUGGGGUAAUGGCUUACCAAGACUAUGACACAUAACUGGUUUGAGAGGAUGAGCAGUCAAACUUGAACUGAGACACGGUCCGGACUCCUACGGGAGGAAGCAGUGGGGAAUAUUGCACAAUGGACGAAAGUCUGAUGCAGCAACGCCGCGUGGAGGAUGACACAUUUCGGUGCGUAAACUCCUUUUAUAUGAGAAGAUAAUGACGGUAUUAUAUGAAUAAGCACCGGCUAACUCCGUGCCAGCCGCCGCAGUAA